GGAUGUGAGGGCGAUCUGGCUGCGACAUCUGUCACCCCAUUGAUCGCCAGGGUUGAUUCGGCUGAUCUGGCUGGCUAGGCGGGUGUCCCCUUCCUCCCUCACCGCUCCAUGUGCGUCCCUCCCGAAGCUGCGCGCUCGGUCGAAGAGGACGACCAUCCCCGCUAGAGGAGGACCGGUCUUCGGUCAAGGGUAUACGAGUAGCUGCGCUCCCCUGCUAGAACCUCCAAACAAGCUCUCAAAAGAUCACACAGCCAGGAGAAAAUAAUUCAGCCAUGAUUUAACUCACUUCAAUUCAAGCAUCAGAAGAAAAGGAAAAGAAAGAAUAUCCCCUGCAUCUAUU
rnacentral:snRNA from 1 species